ACACACAGGAGUGAAGGCAGCAGAGCCAAGCAGGAACCCGUCCUGCCCCAGGCCUGAGCUUUCUUAAGAGGCUCAUGGGGCAGAAAGGAGGACACCAGUCAUUGCAUGGAAGGUCCACCCUAACCCAGGAUGACCUCAUCUUAACUAAUUACAUUUGCAAAGACCCUAAGGCACAUUCACAGAUCCCAAACUGAGCUCUGACGAGAUGGAGAAGCAAAGGACACGGUUCCUGCCCCCAAGGAGCUCCCAGACAAGCAGGAGAGAAGGUGGCUCCCAGACAAGCAGGAGAGAAGGCAGCUCCCAGACAAGCAGGAGAGAAGGCCGUGGAAAUGAUCCUUCUGAUACCACAGCCUGCCGAUGUCAUCUAGAACUCUGGGGGAUUGGGGGAAAACGAACAGAACCAGAUUAAAAAAAAAACCCUGUCCUUAGCUAGGUGUGGUGGUGGGCACCUGUUAUCCCAGCUACUUGGGCGGCUGAGGCAGGAGAAUCGCUUGAACCCAGGAGGUGGAGACUGCAGUGAGCCAAGACUGUGCCACUGCACUCCAGCCUGGGUGACAGAGCGAGACUCUGUCUCAAAACAAAAAAUGAAAAACAAAAAUGAAAAAGAAAAACAAAAACCAAACCCUGCCUUGUAAUUUUGACUUUUACUUUAUCCAAGUCAGGACUCCUGGUCUGAAGAAUAUUUGACCUCAUAACUAUUGGGGGACACUGGGGCUCCCUGCCCAGGGACAGGAUGUUCUCUGCAGAUAUCAGGACGUGGGUGCCGAUGACAAGGGCGCUUUGCCGCCAUGGCCCGGGGCUGGAAGCGCAGCUCUCAAAGGUUGGUUGUGAAGCUUCCAGGGGAGAUGGUCCUCUGCAGGAAGAAUAAGAGCCAUCCUGUAGCCUUCGCUGUUCCAGAAGGCUCCGUGGUGAAUACAUAAUUAGGUCCUCUGUAAUUACCAGUUUGAAUCUGCCUAGGACACUAAGGCUCCCACCCCCUAAUUUACCUUAUAAAUUUAUUCUGCUAAAAAAGUC
rnacentral:lncRNA from 1 species